UUAGAGUAAAAGCUUUGAACGCUGCGGCGGCAGUUACAGGGAAAUCAAAGGCCCUUCCUUGAAGACAAUUUUCUCCAUAACAAGGUUUUUUGGUAUCAAGAGGAUUUGAACUGAUCAAAACCUUUGAUUAAAGAUGAAGAAGUAGUUACCACCGUCCUCCACAACCUUUGUUGGUGAGAUUCUACCUUAGUUAUCACUUGACGAGUGAUUCAAUUCCACUAUUAAUUUUAUAGCAUCUGCUCUGUCACUUACAUUGCCAGCACAUGUUAUUGCAAGAAGUAUUUCCUUCGUUAUUUUUGGGUGAUCGGUUUUAUGGCUACUGCACAUGUUAUUUUUUUUUAGUUAUAUGAUUUUUUCAUUGGAGAUCAAUAAAAUAUUGUAUAUUAUUCAACUUAUACAAUUGAUCAUAAGAAAUUAUUUCUUUA